ensembl:misc_RNA
GGAAAAUUCUUUAUGUUGAAUCGACAUCUGUUUCUCUAUAAUUUGCACUCAUUGGAGCCAUACAGAAUAAAAUGUCUAAUGCUGCUUCCACAAAUAUUUGAGGACUGCAAACACAUUUCCUUCUUUUACUUACUCCACAAGGCUUCUUUUCUUCAAACUAAAUAAACAUGCCCAGCUAUUUCAAACAGGGAGGCAGUGUGGAGUAGUGGAAAGAGGGCCAGCUUUGGAGCCAGGCACAU